ACUGACUACCAUGUUACAGAACCCUAAUCUCGUUCUCACUCAGCCAGCCAUGGAUUGAAGACUUUCACUGAGUGAUGGAUUGAAUCCAAGGAUUGAAGAGUCUCAUCUUGCGAUUUGUGUGUUCUUCUCCUAUUUUGAUUGAAGAACGAAGAUUCCAUUCUCUUGUUCAGUGAGAAAGAUCUGGCGGAGAAGAAACCAGAGAGAACGGAAACAAGUUGGCAAGAGGUUUAGCGAUGAAGAGAACAGGGACGGCGAUUUCCUUAGUGGGUGGCGAGGCAGAGGAGAACGCAGAUCUUGAUGAUAAUGAAGAAAAAGCUUGAGACUCAGGUUCGAUUUCCUCUGGUUCUGAAUGGGUUAGAAACGAAGUAAUGACAAAUUCGGUCGAUCUUGUCACCGAUUCACCCAAUGAUUUCAAGCACCACAGCAUUCUCGAUUUCUAAGUUGACCACCGUUGAAGCCAAAGGAGCCUCAUGGCCAUUGCAGUGAAGGAAGAGCAAAGCAUGGUCUCGGUUGUGAUGCCAAACCGCAACCUCGAAGCCAAACCACACUCAGAAUCGCUCAAAGCAGAUUCCAGCUUCUUCGAUUAUUUCUGUGUUUUGUUUACCGUUGUCCCGCGAUUGCUUUUGCUUUAAGACUGAUAUCUUCAUUUUUCUCAUGAUGUAUGAUACGGACCACGUUUGAUGGAAAAGAAGCAACAGAGAAUCAGAGUGGCACACCACCUGUUCGAUGAUAUGUCACAGUGGGAUGUUGCCUCCUUGCAAACCAGGAAUGGAGACGAAAAAGGAAUGGGUUUCGCGCAUUGACUGACACAGAAUAGCUCUUUUCACCUUAUCUCUAGACCUCUUUUGUUAAACUGUUUCUCUAGUUUUGGAAACUGAUUCUGGUUUUUUCUUUGGUUAGAGGUGAAAAGGUCAGUAUUGCAACUUAAUGAUAGUUGCAGCAGUCAACAUGUAUUACUGGAUAUUGAGGAAGAUGAGGAUACCUCUAAGGAGAACAAGGCUUGUGGGGGAUUUGCUUCACAGAAAGAAUGCAAGAAAUCUGGAAUUGCGAAAGCGUGCUCGGUUUGCAUAACUUCAUGAUGAAUUACUCUUUAUUUGUCGUUUCAUCACUCCGCAUAACUCGGUCAAUGAUAUGUCUGUUCAGUUUUUGUCACUUCUAGCUAAAUGCUGAAUCUGAAGCUUGAAUAUCUGUUAUUUUGUCUUUCGUGUCAGUUCUGAUGAAGUUGUGUAGAAAGCAAUUUAUUCUUAAAAAAACAAAACAGAUAUUCUUAAUUGUUUGGUUCUUACUAUGACCUGUUUUGUGAUCUGAAGUUCAAAAAUAAAUAAAUAAAAUGCAGGUCCAUCUUUCUCUUUAGGACCUCAAUGUGAGAUUCUCACAUGUAUUGACCCUUACACCAGUUUUUAAUCUUGUUCUAGUGUUUAUCUUGAUCACACUUGUGCGGAAAUUAAUGGUAGCACUUUAUGUGUAUUUGUGAUGAUGCUAUAAUGAACUACUUAUAUACAACACCAAGUGUUCUAUUGAUAAAGAAGGGAAAUGUUGCAUUGCCUGCUAAAAUUCGAACUAGCUACAACACCAAGUGUUCUUUAAUACAAAAUUUGAACAUACCGUAAGUGCUACUUUCCUUGUGUAUGUUUUUUGAAAAAUAGUAAGAUCUUCUUUCAUUUUAUUUUUUUAACUCAUUGGUGUAUUGUUCUAUUGUUGUAUCUUGCUAUUAGACGGCUAAUCAUCAUUCCUUUUGAUAUUUUAUCCCAUAUAAUUUGAGCUUUUCAUCAGACAUUUGUUUCUUACUACCAUACCAAAAAGUAAUGGACAUUGCAUGGACAGAUGUGCGUACAAAUUUCCCAUCAUUAAACAAGCAUGAGAUGCAUAUAUCUUUGAAUGCUUGAUCUCUAUCUCUGCUUCCUUUUUUUCUGACAAAAAUCUUCAAAGAUAAGUUUGUUUAAUCUCAGCCAGUGAGAUAUCUGUUUGAAUAAAAAUCAUGUUUAGAAGAGUCUUUCUACAUUUCAUCCCUUCUUUAUGUGUAUUAUGAUUCCUGUCUUAUGGUUCUUCAAAAAGUUUCCAUUUUUAUAAUGCUGACAGUUGUAACCUUUUUUGCUUUUUCCAGAGGAAAGCCCAAGGACAAGGGACAUGUGAGUUUGCAGGAACAACUACUGCUAUAACAUCUGACCCUACAUUGGUGGGUUUGUCUACCCUUCAAGCGCCAGGUUGGAAAAAAUUGGUGGGAGAUGAGAAAAAAUCUGCGCCAUCUCUGAAUCAUUCACCCUUGUUCCUUGCUUCUUCUUGCGAUUUUCUUCAUUGGUUGUUCCUGCGUUUUUGGUUGCGUUAAUUUUACAUCUAAUUCCUAGUUCAUUAUUUAAUUUUAAAUUGAUGUCUACACUGAGAUGUUAAUCCCUAAUUAACAUCCAAUUUUGCAUCUUUAUCAUACACUUUGAGUAUUAAUGUGAUUUGAUUUUUUUUUCUUUCGAUGCAACAUGAUAAUUCAAUUGAUCCCACUCCAAAAGUUGUUAAACUUGGCAAUCAUGCUCAAAGCUAUUUGCUGGAUGAUGUCGUUAAGUACGGGCUUAUUAAUCUAGAAUCAAUUUAGUUUGUGCAAAGGUUUAUUGUCCCUUCCAAUAUAAAACAAGGGCAAUAUAGGGAUAAAAAUUUCAUUAUUCAUUCCGCUCCGUUAAUUACCCAAACAAUGUAGUGGUAACUUUCUUCCGUUCCAUCAUAAAAUACCCAAACAAAGAAAUGAAGUUUUAAUUUCAUUCCGUUCCGCUCCAUUCCGUUCCAUUAUAUUUCAUUCCGCUCCGUUCCGUUAUGUUCCGUCAAUCCAAACAUAGCCUUAGUUAUUCAUCUUCAAUUCUUUUCAGAUUUCCUUAGUUUAGUGUAUCUUAAUUUCUUUAUCACUUUAAAUUUUUAGAAUUGGGAAAUCCUUAUAUUUAUGACUCCUACUGUGUACAUUAUUCUUUAUUGUGUGAUUGAGACACAUGGAUUCACACUUAUAUGCUCUUUCGUUUUCUUCCUUCUCAACAACAAAAACAACAACUAUAAAUUUCAUCCUAUGCUAGUGCUUGUCAGAUUUUGUUUCUUUAUCUUAACGAUUUUUUCAUAAUAAUAAUUUUGAACAAGUCGAAUUUGUUCACGAAUUGAAUCAAAAUAUAACCAUU